UGGGGAAUAUUGGACAAUGGGGGGAACCCUGAUCCAGCCAUGCCGCGUGUGUGAAGAAGGCCUUAUGGUUGUAAAGCACUUUAAGCGAGGAGGAGGGUACUGGUAUUAAUACUACCAGCUACUGGACGUUACUCGCAGAAUAAGCACCGGCUAACUCUGUGCCAGCAGCCGCGGUAAUACAGAGGGUGCGAGCGUUAAUUGGAUUUACUGGGCGUAAAGCGUGCGUAGGCGGCUAAUUGGGUCGGAUGUGAAAUCCCCGAGCUUAACUUGGGAAUUGGAUUCGAUACUGGUUAGCUAGAGUGUGGGAGAGGAUGAUAGAAUUCCAGGUGUAGCGGUGAAAUGCGUAGUGAUCAGGAGGAAUACCGUUGGCGAAGGCAGCCAUCUGGCCUAACACUGACGCUGAGGUACGAAAGAAUGGGGAGCAAACAGG
rnacentral:rRNA from 1 species